UUAUUGCAUGCAAUUUUUCUAUUGGUCAAUAUGCACGACUUCCUUAUGGUUGAAUCCUUGAAUAUUGAGAAGUAUAGAGUUUGAUACUAUCCCUUUCUUUAAAGUAAAGGUAUAUCUAAGAAAAAGGUGAAAAAUGGAUGAAAUAAAACAGAAGUUAGGUUAGGCAGGCUGUUUUUUUAUAACUAUUGCAUUACAGGAAAAGUGUGUAGGUGCUCCAGGCUUGUGCCUGACCAAAUGAGCCUCACCCGAAAGGGUUUGAGGUGCUUUACGACUUCCUUAUGGUUGAAUCCUUGAAUAUUGAGAAGUAUAGAGUUUGAUACUAUCCCUUUCUUUAAAGUAAAGGUAUAUCUAAGAAAAAGGUGAAAAAUGGAUGAAAUAAAACAGAAGUUAGGUUAGGCAGGCUGUUUUUUUAUAACUAUUGCAUUACAGGAAAAGUGUGUAGGUGCUCCAGGCUU
rnacentral:lncRNA from 1 species